rnacentral:rRNA from 1 species
UACGUAGGGGGCUAGCGUUGUCCGGAAUCAUUGGGCGUAAAGAGCGUGUAGGCGGCUCGGUAAGUCCGCUGUGAAAGUCCAGGGCUCAACCCUGGAAUGCCAGUGGAAACUGUCGAGCUAGAGUCCGGAAGAGGCGAGUGGAAUUCCUGGUGUAGCGGUGAAAUGCGCAGAUAUCAGGAGGAACACCAAUUGCGAAGGCAGCUCGCUGGGACGGUACUGACGCUGAGACGCGAAAGCGUGGGGAGCAAACAGG